UUACAUGCACCCAAUGGUCAUAAGUCCAGUUUAGCAGACUGUACCUCCCAUAUGCCAAAAACAUUCUGUGGUCUCAGCUUGGCACAUUUCUAACCAACCGUUCAACGCCUGCUUUGUUCUCACGGUUGUUUUUCUUCCGUCUCCCGUGGGUGGAAACUGGAUAGUGAGGCACUCAUAGUUAUUAGGCUCUUUCAAUGCAAUGGCCUGAGGACAAUAUCCCUGUCGGUUCUCUGUCAAAACUCCUUUACACUGAUCUUUAUGGGUGGCUCUGACUUUGCCUGUGACCUGGUUUUAACCUUCAGUAUUACAGAUAUCUGUAUUUCUAACACGGGAUUUCUUCAGGGGUUACAAAGACUAACCUAAAUAAGUACCCGAGUACUCUGUGUCCUUGCAUCCGUUAGCUGGUGUUGGACUUUGAUGAGAACUUUUUUUUUUUUUUCAGACUUGCACGAGACAUAAACGAGCAUUUCUGCUGUGCUCUCCCUUCCAGGGGGAAGGGCCACUGGGUUUGUUUCUGAGACCUUUCACCUAGAUCCCAGCUGCUUCACAACAUAAAGUUGUUAGUCAGUGCACUGAUUGGCUCUCACUGGAACAAACUAACCAAUCUCAAAGUGAAGGGCUGGUUCCUGUGUGAGGAACGGCAGCUGGACAGAAAAAAAAUGACUAAAAAAAGCUGUUCUCUAGCUUUUUUUUUUUUUGUUUUUUUUGUUGCUUUUUAAAUCAUAAACCUUGUUCUACCCUUCAUCUGUUGUGUACGUGGCUUUGCUGAAUUCCCAGACUAUCUGCACACACAUGUGCCUGAACAAACAGGCUUUACCCUGAGCACCAAGCUAACAUGCCGUAUUACAGUGCAGGUUCAAAUUAGACGAGGUCAAAGUGGAGAUUGUAAACUCACCCAUGGAGGGGAAAAAAACAGCGAAAUUAAAUGUAGACUCUGACAAAGAUUAUACUCUAGGUGGCCACUUUAUUAAGCACAUCUUUCUAGCAACAGGUUGGACUCUCUUUUGCCUUCAAUUCUUUGUAGUAAAUAUUUAAAACUGUGUCUGUAACAUGUAAGCCCUUGUUGACAUUAUAUCAUCACCUAAUUGCUUCAGAUGAUUUUAGCUGUGCAUCCAUAAUGCAUAUUCUGCGUUCCACCAUAUCCCAGCGAUGUAGUUGCUCCAUCAGAUGGAAAUUUGGUGAGCAUGGCCGCUGUGAGCGCAUGUCAAGAAACCAGUCUGAGAUGAUUUGUGAGGUCAUGCAUUGUCCUGUUGGACGUAACCAUCAGAAGGUGGGUACACUGUGGUCAUAAAAUGACCAAAGCGUUCAAACAAUGGCCGACUGGUUCUAAGGAAACAUGCUAAGAUAACUUUUCCAAAUUACUGAGCAUCCACUGUCAGCCUGAACCAUUGACACAAGGAAGGGUGGAUCCUUGUUUUCAUGUUGUUUACGUCAAAGACUCGUCAGACCAGACAGACAGGAGCAGCAUCCGGUGUGUUUUUCUUCUGUUGUCUCCCAUCUGCUUCAAAGUUCAAUGUGUGUGUUCAGAGAUGGACUUCCACUCCGUUGUGACAAGCAGUGUCUUGAGCUACUGUUUCUACAGUCUCCAACCUAUUCACCUCUGAUAUUAUCAAGACAUUUUGUCUGCUGCUAACUGCCACUGUGGAUAUUUUGUAUUUCUUACCAGAUAAAGAGUUCUGGUAAGAACCUACAUCUAGAUGCUUGAAUUCAAAGAAGUUGCUCCGUGUGCGUGGCAGAAUUACCACUUAUGAUAAAAGCAAAGUGACCAGAGACUGUAUGAACCAGAAUCCAAGCCUUUAAUCUAACCACUACAAGCCACUGUCAGGCCAGUUUUCCCAGUGUAACUUCCAGGGUAAAAGGUACAGAGGGACAUAAUGUCCACUUUUCUUAAGACAUCGUGUCAGCUGUGCUCAUGUUUUUUUGUGCCUGAAAGCAUGAAAUGUCAGCUUUCAAGUAACAUCUCUUUUUCGAGAUUCAAAACUGUUGCUCUUGGCUCUCUGUCGGCAGAACUGUCCCCCUUGUUUACCACUCGGGUGAUGUAGCCGCCAACUCAGGAUGUGGGGAUCACCACCCUGUGACGAUCUGUGAAAGCGGCUCGCUGACAUUCAGUCACCAAGUAAAAUCUUUCCGCUUCCUCGCUUUUGAAGCCGAAAUAAGGGGGUUCUAUUUGCAUGCAGAAUCCAAGCCUCCCUCUGCCUGGGAAGCUCAAACGAACUGGGGAGACACUGGACAAAGGAUGGAGAGGGAUGCUGCCCUGUUGCUAUGCCAACCACCGGAAUGUACAGGCUGGAUCGUGGUUG